CUAUAUUAAAUUUUAUUUAUUAUGGGACAAAAAUGGCAUUUGGGCUGUUGGGCACAAAGCUCAUCAAAUUCAGGCCCAACAUUUCCAGCCUCGAAUCCUUUGGACAGGGCCCUUGCAAAUGGGACGGAUUAUGCUAAUUCUUCAUCAUCAUCAUCAUCAUCAUCAUCCUAUCCUACCUUCCUAGCAGGCAGAUUCACUUGGCCAACGCCAUCCAUUUGGAAAAACUCCACACUCCCACAGAUUUGCAAGGAUUAUGCCAUCCUUGCAAAUGGGCGCUAGCCUCUUCGUUCUGGCCAAAGAUAAACGUAUCCAUCUGCUGUGGGGUGGAAGCAGUCGCGCUGCCUUGGUGUAGCUCAAAUACAUCAUCACCGUCGAGCCAAUGAUCCUAACUACCUGUUUUGCCGCAAAGCAGUGCUAUACUGGUCUCAUCUCCUAUGGCGUUCUGCCCUCCUGUGUCGAAGAUCUGGACGAUCAAAAUGGGGGUUUUACUAUCUAGUAGAAAAUGCAACACCAGAAACACUUCAACUACAUCAUCCGCACUCGCUCCCUGGCAGUGGAAGAAAACCAUAUGGACAGAAAAUUGAACCCAAAACUUAGAAUUGUCCUAUAUUUGGUAAUUUGUGUUGGGACAAUUCUAUCUGUCGUUCUGAUUUGAUUUCAAUGAGCUCAAAAAAAAGAAAAAAGAAAAGAAAAGAAA